GGUUGGCAUUCCUCUUACCCUAUCUUUUGAGUACUAUAUAUGUAGAGGUUAGUUAUCACUACUGGAUCAUCACCGUCAAAGAAGAAAAAGAAGAAGAAAAAUCAUUCACUAAAUCAUUUUUUUGUGAUCAGUAAAUAAGAAAUUAUGGGCAAGAUCAGUAUGUUUGUUAGCUUCUUCUUAUUUGUUUUGAUUGCCAUGCCUGCAGCCUCUUCAACAUCAAGCAGGACGAUGCUCGAGAAGGAUGCGAGAACAGAGAGGUGCCCAAAUACUCCGUCAUGCGACGACAACGUCGAACAGUGUGAGGAACCAACAAAUUGCCCAAGAAUUAGAUGCAGACAGGGGCUUGUUCUUUACCGGGAGUGUUGUGAAUGCCCAAAAUGCUGUUCCAGAAGAUAAUAACUGAUGAACCUACUGGCUAUUGCAAUGUUUUGAUGGUUCUUUUAUCACCUAUGUAUGUCUGCAUUUUUUUUCCUUUGAAUGUUUUGAUUUGGCAACCGUAAUGUAUCAGUGUGAUGAAAUAAAAUGUAUGCGGUUAUACUAGUUUUUUUUAACCGAUUAUUGAUGUUAAUCUAUCUAUUCAGCAUUUGUUCUUUUA